GUCUUUACUGUUGUCCCGACUGUCUCCAUGAGCUGAAAUCUCAAUGCUAUUGGUGGUGCAUAUGAAAAAAGAAAAGAAGAAGAAGAAAGGAGGCAAGAAAAGACUUUAUAUAUUGAGGCCACAUUUGUCAAACCUUGAAUCCCACACAGAUUUGGGAACUGUGUGUCAAGCUGAGCUCCAAACUUUCAACUCUGAAAAGCGCUACUUACCCCAAGUAAAAGGCAAUUUUCCAGCUCAAAGAAAGGCAGUACCGCAAGGUUCAGGAAAAGAGGUCAGGAGACUCCUUGUACAUCAAUCAGCUCCUGGAAAACAACAUGUCAAUGAGUUAAGUGAACACGAAUCAGGCACAUAUGGAUUGAAUUUCCCUUGAAAUACUCCUGGGGUCCAAGUUUUAAGGGGUGGAAUGGAGGAGGGAUGAAGAAUCUUGGGAAAAUCUGCAGCCACAGAAUGUCUGAAAAUACUUCUAAACUGUCGACCAGCAAGGCUGCAAAUCCUGCUGACCUGGAUCAAUGCUGGGUCCAGCUGACCUUUGCUUUCUUUAGAUGAGACCAGAUCUGACACUGGAGUGACAGCCAAGGACUCCCCACCCUUGAUCUGAACUUCAUUCCAUGGCACUGAGGAUAGAAAGGUCUGCUAGAAAGUGCCUUUGAAGCUCCAGGGAAGGGAACUGGGAUUUAUUUCAGUCAGAAAGCAAACUGUGAGAAGCAUUCAAGGUGACCAGAUAUGACGGCCAGUAGCUUGUGUUCAGCAAGUCCAUUCAUCCUUCUCCAGCACCUUCCUCCCUGGAAUCAUGAGGAAAUAGUUUUAAAGAGAUGUGGAGAAAAGCAACUGAGUUUCUUGGAACCAUCCUCAAACAACACACAUCUUUGUGUGCAACACAGUGCAAAUGUCCUCCACUCCUAUAGACUCACAAAGUAUGAAGGCAAUGUGCGAGGCAGGUCUCUGGUAGCAUGGAACAGUAUGUGCGCAAGAAAAGAAACAGUCAUGUUUUUCUGUCCAAUAUACAUUUCAUGAAUGUUAGCACUACUUAAAUCUGAUUUGAGAUUAACACUGCAAGAGUUCUGAGUGGAGGAUAAGUUACUUCAGUUACACCUACACAGAUUCUAAAAUUGGUUAAUACCAAGCCUUUUACCUAGAAAGCAUCAUGGGAAUUUUAAGAUGAGAAAGGUGCAUUUUAAACUCUCUAACCGGAAACCUGGUGAGAAAGGAGAUGUAUUUCAUUUGUUGUUGUUUUGUAGAGCAUUUUACAGCCGAGCCAACUCCACUUCUCUUUAGGGAUCAGUACCAGACUAGAACUUCUUAGUGCCCAGGAGCUAUCUAUGAUUGUGGUCUCUUUUUCUCUCUUUCUAUUUAUCUAUCUAUUUACUGACUGAGGUAAGAGACAAUCAGAAAUAAAUGUUAAUGAGAUUUUUUUUUUAAACAAACGAUUCCCUGUCAACAGAAAAAAAAAUUUCACAAUUGUCAAAUUGUGUAGACGAUGUUCAAAUGGCUCAUUCAUCUCCAACAGUGCCACCACGUUGAAAAUGUACUUUUUCUGGUGUGCAGUUGAUUGAUGUGCAUUCCCAUAUCAGGCUAAUGGCACUUUAUUUUCCAACAGUAGCAAGUAAUGAGUGACCUUGAGUGCAUAUAGUUUUCCUGAAAGGCCUUGUUGCUCAGCUUCCUCCAUAAGCACCGCAAGCGAGCAAGGCCUCUGUAUUGGUGUUUUGUAGCAAACCUCAUUUCUUUCAUGGCUUUCUGUAAAAGAAUUUGAUACAGGGAUAGAAGCUAACGUCAGUGAGUAAAUGAAAUAUUGAUCCGCACUACUCUGGCCUUGCCUUCACCUUGUCCCAGGGCGGUGAGUUACUGACUUUUCCGUUUUGGCUGUAAUAGGAAUUAUUACAACAGGUCUGUGCAAGUAAUUACUUGGCAUGGUAAAAAAAAGGAGGGUCCAUCAUAUAUUUCUGUAGAGACGUUAGUUUCUACCAGACCAGCAGUCCACAGUUUUUGGCUCUGUCUCUCCCAGUCUUGAUUCAAUUCUUUUAACUAUCAUUAAUCACACUCCUUGUCAGCAGAAGUUUAUCAAAAGUAUUAAGUGAGCAAGGUUGCCUGGCCUCCUUAAAAAAAAAAAAAAUCAGCCAACACAGGGCAGUAAAUUUCAAAAUAUGGAAGGUUGGUUCCGUGAUAUAUACGAGUGUCUCUUCAGCUAGAAUGAGCUGUUUGUUUUAGUGAUAGAUGUUGUAGUUUGAGCUGUGAUAGAAUCCUUCUCGAGUUUAUAUGUCGCAGGCUAUCGUUUAUGAGAGACCAUGUGUUUCUGGAUGGUGAAGGUCAUGGCUGAUGGCAAAAGUAAAAGCAGUGGUGAUUCAUUAAAAAAGAGUUGAUAGGGCCCAUGGCUGACAGGGAUAAAUAGGAACAUGUGCUUUGCCCAACCCACCAGCACCUAAGUUGACAUUGGGUUUCUUUGGCCUUAACUCUGACAACUCCCCAUCGCCAGACAGUCGGGAAUCUAUAGGAGACAGGAGCAAUGGCAGGUUUCCCUCUUUCUUGUUAUAAUAGAGUCCAGAAAAAAGGGAAUACAGUUCUGUCCCCUGCAGUGUAGCUUGGAUAAUAUUAACUUUAAAAUUGCUAUUAUUUUUUUAAGAAAAUAUAAGUAUUUUUAUUAUAUAAAAUUCAAAGGUGAUAGAAAUAUGAUACAGAAAAGUUAUAUUUGACAUAUUUAAUUAUUAAUAAUUUCAUUUUUUAAAUG
rnacentral:lncRNA from 1 species